GGAAAGGCGCGCGAUACAGGGUGACAGCCCCGUACACAAAAAUGCACAUGCUGUGAGCUCGAUGAGUAGGGCGGGACACGUGGUAUCCUGUCUGAAUAUGGGGGGACCAUCCUCCAAGGCUAAAUACUCCUGACUGACCGAUAGUGAACCAGUACCGUGAGGGAAAGGCGAAAAGAACCCCGGCGAGGGGAGUGAAAAAGAACCUGAAACCGUGUACGUACAAGCAGUGGGAGCACGCUUAGGCGUGUGACUGCGUACCUUUUGUAUAAUGGGUCAGCGACUUAUAUUCUGUAGCAAGGUUAACCGAAUAGGGGAGCCGAAGGGAAACCGAGUCUUAACUGGGCGUUAAGUUGCAGGGUAUAGACCCGAAACCCGGUGAUCUAGCCAUGGGCAGGUUGAAGGUUGGGUAACACUAACUGGAGGACCGAACCGACUAAUGUUGAAAAAUUAGCGGAUGACUUGUGGCUGGGGGUGAAAGGCCAAUCAAACCGGGAGAUAGCUGGUUCUCCCCGAAAGCUAUUUAGGUAGCGCCUCGUGAAUUCAUCUCCGGGGGUAGAGCACUGUUUCGGCAAGGGGGUCAUCCCGACUUACCAACCCGAUGCAAACUGCGAAUACCGGAGAAUGUUAUCACGGGAGACACACGGCGGGUGCUAACGUCCGUCGUGAAGAGGGAAACAACCCAGACCGCCAGCUAAGGUCCCAAAGUCAUGGUUAAGUGGGAAACGAUGUGGGAAGGCCCAGACAGCCAGGAUGUUGGCUUAGAAGCAGCCAUCAUUUAAAGAAAGCGUAAUAGCUCACUGGUCGAGUCGGCCUGCGCGGAAGAUGUAACGGGGCUAAACCAUGCACCGAAGCUGCGGCA
rnacentral:rRNA from 1 species